UCUACGGGUGCCCAGUGGGGGCCCAAGCACAGUGAGCAUGCGGGCUGUCCCUGCGUCCCGCGCGCAGUGGGCGUUACUAACGGACAACUCCUGACUCUAGGAGCUCAAAUACUGUGAUGCUUCGGGAAUUGUGGACCCUCUUGCCCGAUAUUGACUAAUCCCCUCGUACCCAGCCCCUGGCGAUGGUGAAGGGACGGGGAUGUGAAUCUAAAGUAGCUUGAACUGUGGCUCUAGCUAAGGACCGCGCGAAGUAUUUUGGAGAAUGUCUUUCCAGCUCACCUCAGUUAAAAAAAAAAAACAAAAAAACCCAAAAAAACAAAAACAAACAAAAAACAAAAAACUAUCCGGAGCGGACGCACAGAUUCGCUGACUUGACAGUCGAGUAAUAUCGAUCUGAAAAAAAAAGACAGUUGGUGCAAGGUUAAUUUGAACCAAAUCUCCUAGGAGCCAAGACUAAAGGAUCAGAGCUCACCAAAGGAGAUUACAGUCCGGGGUACGAGUUCCUGAGAACCUGCUGUUAAUACGCCAGCGUAUUUAAUGUCACUUGGAACCUGCAAAUUGGGUACAUCGAUCUUCUCCCCAAAUGAAGGACCGUGGCACAGGUAUCCUUGGAUGGCCUGGAAUUCACCACAUUGAACAGCCUGGCUUUGGACUCAUUGGCAGUCAUAUUGCCUCAGCUUCCAGAGUGCUGGGAUUAUAGGCAUGUGCCACCAUGCACAGCUCUGUUCUGUAUUUUGAGACAGGGUCUCAUUUUCUAAUCCCACCGAGUUACAACAGCAAGCCUCCUGCCCUGGCCUCCAGAGUGCUGGGUUUUCAGGUGUAUAUAACCACACCCAACUUACUUUCUGUAUCUUAGGAUGUUUUGGCAUUUCUCAAGGCUUGAAGGUUUAGGGGAGACUUAAUGCUUUUAGGGUAGGUUAUUGUUUGGGGUCACAAAAAAAAACCCUCCUGCUCUCUACUAGGGGCGUGGCUAUCCUAAACAAACUAACCAAUCUUGAGUCUGCAUUCCCAACAACUUCCUGACUUAAAUCUCAUACUCAAACCAGUUUUUCUCUUCCCCUAACUCAACCAGGGCCAGAUAUCAGGCAACUAGCCGCAACUUCUAGACCCAAAGCCACUGAACUAUUCCAGUUUGCCAGUGCUAAGCAGCUUGUUGUGCCCAAGUUGCCUUUUCCUCAGCAAUGCCAGCAAAGACUCUACCUCAGACUGUCCCCCAUAUUCUACUUUGUUGUUUUGAGAGCAUGUGUUACUCUGCAACUUUCCACGUAGCCUCCUGACCUUGAACUUGUGAUUCUCCUGCAUCGGGCUCCUGAGUGCUGAGACUGUAUUUGUACAUCUGCACACUGAGCAUUCUCCUAUCAACUUGCGUUCUGUUACUUAGUACAUGCCUAGCCAUGGGCCACGCCCUCUCUGGGUGGGAUCUGUGACUGUAUAACCAUCUUCCUUCCAAGUUUCCUUUUGAUCCCCUCCUGAGGUUGUAAGAUCUUUACCAACCACCCUUCAACAUCUGCAUCCUUAAUAAGGAUGGAUGUCUAGGAAAGGGGCUGUGGGCAUAGGACAGCUGAUAAGCCAAAUGUCUUAACUCACCUUGAAAAAAAAUAGAUGAAAGAAACUCGGAGACUAUUGGGAAUUCUCCUCUUUCUGUGGAGAUCCUCUUGGUGGGGAGCUGGCAGCAGGCUUAACCACAAGAGUCAGAGGUCCUGGGACCUGAUGACUUGGUCACUACCUGUCGAGUCAAUAUGCCUCCUACAGACAAAGAGGAAGGGUUAUUAAGAAAGGAUGGCUCAGCAGGUAAACCCUAAUGAUGACCCAAGUUCUAGCCCCAAGACCCCCAUGUUAAACUCCUCCAAGUUGUCCUCUGAUCUCCACAUGUGUACUAAGGCCUGCAUGCCUACGCGCAUAAGAUAAAUGAAUGUGAUAUAACAUUUAAAGUAAGGUCAUUAGGACUGAGGAACAAACACAGUUGGCAGAGUGCUACCCUGAUGUGCACGAAGUUGUGGGUUCCUUCUGCCAAACUACAGAAAGGAAGGGUGGCUGUUAGCUCAGUGCUGUACAACUCUGUUAUGCUAUAUGGGUACAUGAGACCAUGAAAUACCAUUAAAGACUCUUUCAGAAUCUC